ensembl:lncRNA novel transcript
AAUAAAGGGUUGUGUUAGACUGCUAUACCUUGAAAUAAUUUCUUAUAAGUCAUUAAUAACUGAAGUAAGCAUUAAUUGAACCUUUAAACAGUUAAACUUACAAUAAUUAUUUUGAAGAUCAUCUUGCCUUAAAAACUUCAAGAUCUUUGAGGGGAUAAUUUGCCAUCUUAGUAUUUAGAAGAACUGUGUUUGUGUCUAUAUGAGGGAGAUCAGAUUAUAAUAGAAGGUAAAUGGGUACAGCUACUUGGGAGGCUGAGGCAGGAGAAUGGCGUGAACCCGGGAGGCGGAGCUUGCAGUGAGCCGAGAUCCCGCCACUGCACUCCAGCCUGGGCGACAGAGCGAGACUCCGUCUCAAAAAAAAAAAAAAAAAAAAAAGCUUUCCUGGAAUUUUAAACUAUUUUCUCUUUUGAUUAAAAAAAAUAGAGGAUGAGAUAUGCACUCAUUACAAGAAUAUUACAUUUCAGGAUUUGGUAAAAUGAAGAGAAAGUUUUGAAUGGGCUAAACAGGAAUUCAAGGACUUCUUAUAAUACAUUCCAGAGCUCAGCAACUCUUUUUUUAUAUUGCCUGCUGUUUGGGAUUAUAUUCAUCAUUGCUGCCUUCAGUUACAGGGCAAAAUGCUGAAUGGCAGAAGGCUGAAGAAAAGCUAAAAGCUCCGUCCUAUUGAGAAGUUCAUCACAGGGAAGACUCCACUGAAGUAAUCAGAUGCCUUUCCUGCUGCCCUGAGUCUUUAACUGUCCAAAGGGAGUCCUGAACCCAAAGCUGUUUCAGCUGCAUGCGAUUGUUAGGAUCAUUCACUCAUACCUCUUCGUUUAGGAUAGAGAACAAUCAGGCAAAGAAAGGGGAGGACUAACCCAAGGUCAGAUAAUUAGCUAAGGGCAUCAGAACCCACAGUUCAGGGUUGUUAGUACCACAUCAAGCUCCCUUGCAAAUUAGCUUCAUAAAUUCUAAGCCCACAGGCUCAGGGCUCAUCUGAAAGAGAUGGACCAGAGAGGAGGAGAUGGAGAAAAAAGUCUCCUACCACACACUGGAACCACUUUUACAGAAGUGCCUGUUGUCUCCCCUGCACCCCUGCACUCCCAACCCCAACAAUGCCAGGCAGCAAGCUGUUGCAGAAAGGAAGCAGGCUGCUGCCCCUGCAGUGUUCAGGCCUCCUCCUGGCAGGGCUCCCUCUACCUGAAUCCAUCUCAGGGAAAUGGUCAUCUCUGACUAUGCUGCACAGAGCCUGCAAAGCUAUGUUAAUAAUCUCUCUGGGCCUUAAACUGAAUAACCAAGAUUUCGCACAUGUACCAUUCACUUCCCACUUAAUAUGCACACUCAAUUUACACAGGAAGUAUGCCUAAGGCUCUUUCAAUGACUGUAUGUGACUACACAUAGGGUUUUUCUUUUAUAACAGAUUGGCAAAUGCCUGAGGUGGUAUGAGUGUGAUGUUGCUGGAAAACCUUAGUUGAAAUUCCUAGACUAUAUGAAAUCCUUUUUAAAUCUCCUUAUUCUGAAAACAUAUUUUUUUAAAAAAAAUUUAGACCACUCAUGGGAUUUAAAGUAAAAAGUACAAAUAUACUGUAUUUCGUGACUAUAAUCAAACUGGAGACAUUAUGCAAACAUAGAGCUCUUAUAUUUUCAUUCUUCUACUUUAGGUCGCAAUUGUCUAUCUCUGCAUUAUGUGCAAACCAAAAUGAGAACUGCAGGAAUAAAACACAUGGUUGUGUCCA